CUUUCCCAUCUGGCGGCCGCGGCUCCUGUCCAGACCCUGACCCUCCCUCCCAAGGCUCAACCGUCCCCCAACAACCCCCAGCCUUGUACUGAUGUCGGAUGCGAGAGCCUGUGCUUAAUUUAAGGAAUUUCUGGGGACCUACAAUAAACUUACAGAGACCUGCUUUUUGGACUGUGUUAAAGACUUCACAACAAGAGAAGUAAAACCUGAAGAGACCACCUGUUCAGAACAUUGCUUACAGAAAUAUUUAAAAAUGACACAAAGAAUAUCCAUGAGAUUUCAGGAAUAUCAUAUUCAGCAGAAUGAAGCCCUGGCAGCCAAAGCAGGACUCCUUGGCCAACCACGAUAGAGAAGUCCUGAUGGAUGAACUUUUGAUGAAAGAUUGCCAACAGCUGCUUUAUUGGAAAUGAGGACUCAUCUGAUAGAAUCCCCUGAAAGCAGUAGCCACCAUGUUCAACCAUCUGUCAUGACUGUUUGGCAAAUGGAAACCGCUGGAGAAACAAAAUUGCUAUUUACCAGGAAUAAUCACAAUAGAAGGUCUUAUUGUUCAGUGAAAUAAUAAGAUGCAACA
rnacentral:lncRNA from 1 species